rnacentral:rRNA from 1 species
GCGAAGGCGGUGUACCAGAACACGUUCGACGGUGAGGGAUGAAAGCUGGGGGAGCAAACCCGGAUUAGAUACCCGGGUAGUCCCAGCUGUAAACGAUGCAGACUCGGUGAUGCAUUGGCUUGUGGCCAAUGCAGUGCCGCAGGGAAGCCGUUAAGUCUGCCGCCUGGGAAGUACGUACGCAAGUAUGAAACUUAAAGGAAUUGGCGGGGGAGCACCACAAGGGGUGAAGCCUGCGGUUCAAUUGGAGUCAACGCCAGAAAUCUUACCCGGGGCGACAGCAGAAUGAAGGUCAAGCUGAAGACUUUACCAGACAAGCUGAGAGGCGGUGCAUGGCCGUCGCCAGCUCGUGCCGUGAGAUGUCCUGUUAAGUCAGGUAACGAGCGAGACCCCUGCGUCUAGUUGCUACCAUUCCUCUCUGGAGUAGUGGAGCGAAUUAGACGGACCGCCACAGUUAAUGUGGAGGAAGGAAGGGGCCACGGCGGGUCAGUAUGCCCCGAAACUCUGGGGCCACACGCGGGCUGCAAUGGUAGUGACAAUUGGUUCCGAAUCCGAAAGGAGGAGGUAAUCCCUAAACGCUACCACAGUUAUGACUGAGGGCUGCAACUCGCCCUCACGAAUAUGGAAUCCCUAGUAACUGCGUGUCAUUAUCGCGCGGUGAAUACGUCCCUGCUCCUUGCACACACCGCCCGUCGUUUCAUUGAAGUUUGCUUUUAGCGAGGUGACGUCUGAUUGGCGUUAUCGAACUUGAGGUAAGUGACAAGGGAAAAGUCGUAACAAGGGUAACC